rnacentral:rRNA from 1 species
AUUGAACGCUGGCGGCAUGCCUUACACAUGCAAGUCGAACGGCAGCACGGGUGCUUGCACCUGGCGGCGAGUGGCGAACGGGUGAGUAAUACAUCGGAACAUGUCCUGUAGUGGGGGAUAGCCCGGCGAAAGCCGGAUUAAUACCGCAUACGAUCUACGGAUGAAAGCGGGGGACCUUCGGGCCUCGCGCUAUAGGGUUGGCCGAUGGCUGAUUAGCUAGUUGGUGGGGUAAAGGCCUACCAAGGCGACGAUCAGUAGCUGGUCUGAGAGGACGACCAGCCGCACUGGGACUGAGACACGGCCCAGACUCCUACGGGAGGCAGCAGUGGGGAAUUUUGGACAAUGGGCGAAAGCCUGAUCCAGCAAUGCCGCGUGUGUGAAGAAGGCCUUCGGGUUGUAAAGCACUUUUGUCCGGAAAGAAAUCCUUGGCCCUAAUACGGUCGGGGGAUGACGGUACCGGAAGAAUAAGCACCGGCUAACUACGUG